GCCUGUAGGCGAGCUCAGUCAGUAAAGCGCGAGACUUUUAAUCUCAAGGUUCCGGGUUUGAGCCUCACGAUGGGCA